UUGGGGUCAAACUGCAAAAUACAGGAAGUUGUGCGAAUGGAGAUGGAGUGCAGAUGGUCAGACAAUGACAACACUGCACGUGUGCCAGAUGCCACUGCUGUAUGUUUGUUGUACUUAUUACUCCGCCAAGGAGCACAGCAGAGUUAUGUGAUGAUCAGUGCUGCCUUUGUCCCAUAGACCUGGAUGAACGGUGGGCCCAGCGCUUCUUGACCACCAUAGACAAGCUUUCCUGACCCUCAUCUGGGACUUGAUGCUGUUGGACAGUUAGGAGGUGAGAUCUGAACGAGGACGACUGACAAAGGAGGAGGAAGUCUGGACAGGAGGUUUGAUGGGUCAAAGUGCCCUGAUGUGAUUCAGAUGAACUGACAGUGCUGGACACUGGCAGAGAAACUGAGAAUCACUUCACUUGAAAUGUUUCCUUCUAACUGCAGUCGGUCUCUAAAUGUUC
ensembl:lncRNA